rnacentral:lncRNA from 1 species
UGCGUGUUAUACUGGGAAAUCCAAGAGGCAUGAGGCACCCAGUUACUCUGACCAGGCAGCACCUUCCCCUUUCUGCCUAUAAGUCAAUGGGGAAAGGAGCUGCAGGCAUAAACGCAGCCUCAGAAAUGAGACACAUGAUGAAAUUGAACAGUAGUGCCUCUGGGCAGCACUCACUGUGCCAAAAGUUAAUAAAAUAGAUAUUUAUACUUAGUCAAGGUUGUAUUUAUAAAUUGGUCUCAAAACCCUGAGCUUAGGAUCUUUUUAUGCAUUAUUCUGCUAAAAAAGAGUUCAUGGGGCUUAAAAUAACUUUGGGUGAAUCAAGUUCAAAAAUAAUACAGGAUUAUACAGUAUCUAGCUUUAAUAAAACAGCAUUGAUUUUAGUUUAUAAAGGAUUCUUUCUUACAUUUUCCCUGAUUCACAAGUCUACUUUGUGGUAGAUAACUGUUUGUUCUUUGAAUGAAACUGAUGCUCAUGUCUGACCAAAAUGGAACAUCUGGUAGAUGACACAGAGCCUUCUUUUGGGUAAUUGAACAUCUUUCCCAAGUCUUCUAAGACCAGCAUUCAUUUUACUAUGCUUGAAUUGUUCCUUCAACUAACAGUGUACAUAACAGUACCCAGUAGGUCUACCCAGAAACCAGGUAACUGGUAUACCCUAGCACUGAAGAUACCACCACACAGGGUAUCCACUAUUGUUAGUGGCUAACAUCAUUUAUAGAGUACUUGGAAGGUGUUUGUAAACCUUUCCUAGGGGGAUGUUUUGUCCACAUAUUUGUCAUUGAACUAAUCCAUCUGUGUAACACUGAAGAUCUUGCUCUGAGAUCCUAGGCCUUCCACAGACUCCCUGUCUCAGUCUCUCAAGUACAAAGAUAACAGACAUGCUCUCCAAACCCUGGCUUGCCUUUUCCUUUUUAAUGCUGCAUGGUAAAUGAUCUUUACAUUAUAAUUUGUUCGACUAAGAACUGUUUGACUGAGUCUUCUAUUUUUGAUAUCUUUGGGAACGAUUCCUUUGUGGCCAUGUUCAGGGACUUGAGGUGUGUCAGGAGGUCGUCACUCAGCAGUAGAGAUCCGCCUAACAUGUAUAUCACCCUGGGUUUGACUCAAAGUGAGCAUAUGCAUAUCUCUCUCUCUCUCACACACACACACACACACACACACACACACACACACACACACCUUCAUGAUUUCUGAAGAGGUCUCAGUGGUAAUGAAGUUAGUAUAUUCUUGAUUAGGAGUGUAUAUUGUCAUUGAGCUCUGUUGUAGAGUAAUUGCCUAGUAUGCACAAGUCCCUGGACUCCAUCACUAGCACUUGAGAGGUAAAAGCUAGGAAUUCAAAGUUAUUGCCAGCUACAUAGGUCAUCAUCCUGGGCCCCAUGAGAUUGUGCCAAAAAAAUAAAAAGGAAAAAAGGGAAAAAAGAAUACAACCCACAACAUUGCAAAGACCUUAUUCACAAGUGCAAACCCUAGCCAGAAGCAGCCGUCUGUAAUGAAACUGUACACAGAAGCUACUGGGUAAGAAGUGGGAAAUAUGUUUCUCUUAAACAAGCAAGUCUCCACCCUUUUUCUUUAAAAUUCCUUGGACAUUAACUCAGUAACAUUUACCUGAAUCUGUUGUACUGUCUCAGGCUUUAUGAUUUUUCUCAAAAUAUAAACUUACACAAAAGUUUGAGUGUCCCUGCAGUGUGGUUAUGUCUUGACGGUUACUCUUGCUGUGUGUAAUGCCCCAGAAGGUAAAAAAUUAGAAAUAGCUGUCCUCUUUCUCCUUGCUGGUUCCCUUACCUAAAGCUGGUAUUUAAAUAUGUAAAUGUGGGAAAUUCAUUAAGACAUACUGAUAUACUUCACUUUGGAAACAAUGUGAAAAAAUUGUUUGACUUUCUAUUUUUUAUGUAGUUUUUUUUAAUUUUCAUUUUAAAUCUUUCAAUGACAUAUGAAAAUGUUUAUGAAAUACUCAGAAAUAGAAGUGUUUUCCUUUUUUGGUGAGAUUAUAAUAGUUUAAAAGCUCGUUUUAAAAUUUUCCUUUCAUCUGCUUUUUAUUGAUAAAUCACUAGACAAAUGUCAGGCUUCCCGCUGUCAUCGCCGGCCUCUGCACCAGAUGCCUAGGCUUAUGCUACGGUGCCUUAGAAUUACUCAGGUUUGGACACUACUGACCCAUCCUAGUGCACUGAUCACCCUUGUAGUUUUGUGAACACAUUUCCCAGUUACAAUCUGAUUUCCUCACAGGCUAUUUUUCCUACUUGUAAAAAGCAUGAGUAAG